AACCCAGUAGCCAACAGCUAUUCAUCAGUUACUCGUCUGUAACCCGACACCUUUACCCUACAGUUAGGUCUGGAUGGGAACUCUUUCAUCCUUUUCACAAACCUCAUCUCCACCUACAUCUUUAGAAGUUUAGGAACAUCGAUCAACAGUGAUGAAACUCUUCUUGGUGUUGUCACAAAGUCCAGUGGAAAGCAACAUUGUGUAAAAUAAUAGUAUGUACAGUAAUAUGUUCAUUUUACAUCCACAUUGCUGUUUGGUGGAGCUGCGUCAGAGCUGUCAAAUCCACCAGUGGCUCCUGGCAUUAUACCUGAACUGGACAUUGCCUUGGCUGCACGGAGUUAAGUUCCAACACUGGAAUGUGAGAUGUAAUCUACAUCUCGAUUAGGAUGAUAAAACCCUUAUUUUGUUGAAUGAUUUUUACAUUUGAAAGUAGUUAUUUCUAUAUAGGCUACACUUUCUCGUUCUGAACUUAUAAAGCGAAUGGGGGCAGGUGUGGCUUCAUGAAGAUGCCAGAGCAGCUGCUCACUGAUUUGACAGCUCCAACACAGUUCCACUACCAAGUCAUCCACUAUGCAGGUGUCUGCUAUCGCUGGUUAAUGCUCUGAUUGAAUCUAGGCCUUAGUAGUAGUAAUAAGUUAGCGGUAGUAGUUAUUAGUGAUAGUAGGCUUCCAUAUGUUUGUUGUUUUUAUUUCUUAUGAAAUUGUAGUUCGCAAAUUUCUGUGAAAAUAGACAAAAUGCUUUUUGAUCUUUGGCCAAUAGAGAGAGUAGAGUACAGUAUAUUCAAAGUCUGUGUCGAAUAGCAGAAGAUUUUUUUAAACCACUUCCUGUCUAGGCUUGAUAAACCAGUCUACUUGUUACCUGGAGGGGCGUGGUUAUAUGGAGGCCAGUGAAUCUGCAGUUUACUCACCUUGUUCGUAACAGUGCUCACCCUUAAGUCUCUUUCCCAUUGCUCUCACACACAAACACAUCCCAGAGGAGAAACUACCAAGAGAGAAGAAUCAUGUCUGUGGAAGUCCACAUAGAAUAUUGUAGUGGAUGAGGGUACGACUCUCGCUAUCAGGACCUAGCAUCUGCCAUCAAGCGGAACGUUCCUGAUGCGACGGUGACGGGAACCACGGGGCGGCGCUCCAGUUUCGAGGUAACAAUGAAUGGUAAACUGGCCUUCUCUAAACUGGAGGCAGGAGGAUUCCCAGACAGCAAGGAGAUGGUGGCGAUGGUGAAGGAGGUGAGCCGCGGAGGAAAGGUUGAGAGAGUGAAGAAGAAGGAUAAUAAGUGUGUUCUCCAAUAGAUGAGUGGAUAUUAAGAGAGGGAGAGAAGGAGUGUUUUUUUAAGAUCCUGGGUCCUGAUCUGAUUCUAUUAAUGAUUGUUCACAAUGAAACUAAGGAUGUGCAACAUGAUGAAGUCUACAGUCAUUUCAACUCUGUGAUCUGAGGGAAAUACUCUCAUCCUGUGUCUCUGUUUUAUACUGUCAUGUCUUAUGUUAUUCCUUGUGUUAUACAGACAAAGAUAUUAUAGACUGACUAGCGUUUAGUUUUACAUUCUAGAAAUUAUAUUGUACUCAAUGUAGACCUCUGCAGUUGUAUAGGCUGUACGUGUAUUUUUAAACGAUCACAUAAAUUCUAUGAAUCAAUUA